AGAGUUUGAUCAUGGCUCAGAUUGAACGCUGGCGGCAGGCCUAACACAUGCAAGUCGAACGGUAACAGGAAGCAGCUUGCUGCUUCGCUGACGAGUGGCGGACGGGUGAGUAAUGUCUGGGAAACUGCCUGAUGGAGGGGGAUAACUACUGGAAACGGUAGCUAAUACCGCAUAAUGUCGCAAGACCAAAGAGGGGGACCUUCGGGCCUCUUGCCAUCGGAUGUGCCCAGAUGGGAUUAGCUUGUUGGUGGGGUAACGGCUCACCAAGGCGACGAUCCCUAGCUGGUCUGAGAGGAUGACCAGCCACACUGGAACUGAGACACGGUCCAGACUCCUACGGGAGGCAGCAGUGGGGAAUAUUGCACAAUGGGCGCAAGCCUGAUGCAGCCAUGCCGCGUGUAUGAAGAAGGCCUUCGGGUUGUAAAGUACUUUCAGCGGGGAGGAAGGGAGUAAAGUUAAUACCUUUGCUCAUUGACGUUACCCGCAGAAGAAGCACCGGCUAACUCCGUGCCAGCAGCCGCGGUAAUACGGAGGGUGCAAGCGUUAAUCGGAAUUACUGGGCGUAAAGCGCACGCAGGCGGUUUGUUAAGUCAGAUGUGAAAUCCCCGGGCUCAACCUGGGAACUGCAUCUGAUACUGGCAAGCUUGAGUCUCGUAGAGGGGGGUAGAAUUCCAGGUGUAGCGGUGAAAUGCGUAGAGAUCUGGAGGAAUACCGGUGGCGAAGGCGGCCCCCUGGACGAAGACUGACGCUCAGGUGCGAAAGCGUGGGGAGCAAACAGGAUUAGAUACCCUGGUAGUCCACGCCGUAAACGAUGUCGACUUGGAGGUUGUGCCCUUGAGGCGUGGCUUCCGGAGCUAACGCGUUAAGUCGACCGCCUGGGGAGUACGGCCGCAAGGUUAAAACUCAAAUGAAUUGACGGGGGCCCGCACAAGCGGUGGAGCAUGUGGUUUAAUUCGAUGCAACGCGAAGAACCUUACCUGGUCUUGACAUCCACAGAACUUUCCAGAGAUGGAUUGGUGCCUUCGGGAACUGUGAGACAGGUGCUGCAUGGCUGUCGUCAGCUCGUGUUGUGAAAUGUUGGGUUAAGUCCCGCAACGAGCGCAACCCUUAUCCUUUGUUGCCAGCGGUCCGGCCGGGAACUCAAAGGAGACUGCCAGUGAUAAACUGGAGGAAGGUGGGGAUGACGUCAAGUCAUCAUGGCCCUUACGACCAGGGCUACACACGUGCUACAAUGGCGCAUACAAAGAGAAGCGACCUCGCGAGAGCAAGCGGACCUCAUAAAGUGCGUCGUAGUCCGGAUUGGAGUCUGCAACUCGACUCCAUGAAGUCGGAAUCGCUAGUAAUCGUGGAUCAGAAUGCCACGGUGAAUACGUUCCCGGGCCUUGUACACACCGCCCGUCACACCAUGGGAGUGGGUUGCAAAAGAAGUAGGUAGCUUAACCUUCGGGAGAGCGCUUACCACUUUGUGAUUCAUGACUGGGGUGAAGUCGUAACAAGGUAACCGUAGGGGAACCUGCGGUUG
rnacentral:rRNA from 1 species